rnacentral:rRNA from 1 species
UACGUAGGGUGCAAGCGUUGUCCGGAAUUAUUGGGCGUAAAGAGCUCGUAGGCGGUUUGUCGCGUCGAAUGUGAAAACCCGGGGCUCAACUCCGGGCCUGCAUUCGAUACGGGCAGACUAGAGUUCGGUAGGGGAGACUGGAAUUCCUGGUGUAGCGGUGAAAUGCGCAGAUAUCGGGAGGAACACCGGUGGCGAAGGCGGUUCUCUGGGCCUGACCUGACGCUGAGGAGCGAAAGCGUGGGGAGCGAACAGG